rnacentral:rRNA from 1 species
UACGUAGGGGGCUAGCGUUGUCCGGAAUCAUUGGGCGUAAAGCGCGUGUAGGCGGUUCGGUAAGUCCGCUGUGAAAGUCGGGGGCUCAACCCUCGAAAGCCGGUGGAUACUGUCGAACUAGAGUGCGGAAGAGGCGAGUGGAAUUCCUGGUGUAGCGGUGAAAUGCGCAGAUAUCGGGAGGAACACCAGUGGCGAAGGCGAGUCUCUGGGAUGAUGCUGACGCUGAGGCGCGAAAGCCAGGGGAGCAAACGGG